GAAAUAAAACAAAGUUUAGCUCAGUGACGGUUAGUAUCAAUCUAGUUGAGAAAACAUGGCGGCGUCGGUAAACUUGUUGGAUUUUGUUUCAUUUGCAAAGCUAUUUACGACAAGGAAAACCAGAAAGUUUCCACAUUUGGUGUAAAUCAAACUAAUUUGGAAUCUUGGAAUCCCACAAUACUUCCUCACAUCACAGAAACCAAUGAAGCAUAAGCACUAGUCGACAAAACUGAAAAUUUGUCUGGUGUAAAACAAAGCACAGAGAUGCAAAGGUGAUUCCAAAUCCGUCUCCCAGACUAACAACCAGACCAAAGCAGAAAACAAGCAAGAAACCCGCAGAAGAAACCUCAAUUAUCAAAGUCUAAUGUACAUACUAUCAUAAAGAAAUCAACAUUUGUAAAUACAGCCUCCUUAAAAUAAAA